AUUCCAGCUCCAAUAGCGUAUAUUAAAGUUGUUGCGGUUAAAAAGCUCGUAGUUGGAUUUCUGUUGAGGACGGCCGGUCCGCACUAUGUGCGUGUAUCUGGUUCGGCCUUGGCAUCCUCUUGAGGAACGUAUCUGCGCUUGAUUGCGUGGAGCGGUAUUCAAGACUUUUACUUUGAGGAAAUUAGAGUGUUCACGGCAGGCAAGCGCCUUGAAUACGUUAGCAUGGAAUGAUAAUAUAGGAUCCUGGUUCUAUUUUGUUGGUUUCUAGAGCUAAGGUAAUGAGGAAUAGGGAUAAUUGGGGGCAUUUGUAUUAACGCGUCAGAGGUGGAAUUCUUGGAUUGCGUUACGACAAACUACUGCGAAAGCAUUUGCCAAGGAUGUUUUCAUUA
rnacentral:rRNA from 1 species